rnacentral:lncRNA from 1 species
GAAACACCACAUUCACAUUCACACGCACAAAUACACGCAGAGACCCAGGAAUCCUAACCAAAAACAUUCUCUUAAAUUCCAGAGUUAGAUCUAGCGAAUUUAUGUGAAUGUAAGCAGUGACAAAUAGUAGUAUGAGCAGCACUGGACUGGGGGGCAUUUCGCACUACCACCACCGAUUAUGAAUCCCACUGCUGCUGACCCAGCAUCUCCGUCUCCUCCUCCGCCGCAGCCUCCGCGUUCCUCCUUCAGUUGUGACCGCCACCUUCAGGAACAAUUUACUGGUUUCUGCCCCUCCUGCCUCUGCGAGCGCCUCACCACUCUCGACCAAUCCUUCCUCCUCUUCUCGCCGCCCCUCCGCCUCCUCCUCCUCCGCUGCCGCCGCCCUUAAAUCCGUCUACUCCUCCUCUUCCUCCAAGCCCUCCACCUCCUUUCUGCAUUUCAAACUCUGCUAGGAUGUUUGUAUAGGCUAUAAUUGUUAUGUUAUCAGCUUCAUCCUUUAUCCUUUCCUCUUGAAUUUGAAUAAGAGAAACAGCCGACUUGUGGAAUCCAAGGGGACUGCACCUGGGGAAGUCAUUAAAUUGGAACAGGUUUCUUCCGUUUUUGAACAAGGAAAAAAAAAGGAGCAGGUUUGAAUUCGGUGAAUUCGGAAUUCACCGAAUUCCGAAUUCAAUUCGGCAUCAAAUUCGAAAUCGGAAUUUCCCAUUUCGAAAUCGAAUUCGGUCGGGAAAAUUUAUGUCAAAAUUUCGAAAAAUUCCGAUUUCAAACUUCCGAUUUACCGAAUUCGAUUUCGAUGCACAGCCCUACUUUGAAGAAUGAAGUAUGACUAUUUUCUAUUUAAGAAAAUAGGGAAGGAACUUUUUGGUGCUUGUCAGAGUAAUCCUUAUAGGAAAUGGUAUGGUCAAAAUGGUUUACCAAAACAAAGAUCAUAAGCAGUUUAGUUUAAAAUAAUCAUGUAUAAGUAUUUGAAGUUACCCUAAAUGCUAUCAUGACUAAAAUAGAAGGUACAUGGGAUGGUUUACCCUGUGGUGCUGAGGCAGGGAUGAAGCUCCUGUUUAAUCUCCCCCAACUUUCCCAGAUGUCUAUCAUCUGGGCUUUUACUUCUCAAACAGAUUCUGUUUCUAUUAAACAUUGAUGUGGUGAUUUUUCAAGGUGAUAUGUCAGGUUAAUAUACUUGCUGUUUCAUGGUUGGGUUUGAUACUCAUUGUGAAUGGCUUACCUAUUUGGUUCGUGUGUCUUUUACUUGUGUUCUUGUGUCCCACUGUUUGUCUGUUGGGCACUAUGGAGAAAGGAGCUUUCAAUGGAGACCAUAUCUGCAGAACAGUUUAAGUUUCAAUUGCCAGACACCUAUAGUUUUGGAUAAAUGUCCACUACUCAGCUGACAGUUUUUUUUUCCCCUUUGAUAGGGCUCAUUAUUGUGUGAUAAGAAACUACUUGUUUUCUUUGGAUUGUUCUCUCCUGGUGCUUCAUAAUGAAGCUAUUGCUUUCUCAAAAAGAAAAAAGAAAAAAGGAAAAAAUCCUGCUACUCUGUUUUCUGUUAUGUCUCUUAGUUGAUUUUGUAUAAUAUUUUUGUUUAGUGUUAAAAAUAUAUAAUUUGAAAGAUAAAUUGCCCGACCUGUUAGGUAAAGGAUGGAACAUAUGGAGCCAGUACUAGCUACUGUGUCGUACUUGUAACUUAAUACCUGGAGAUUUAUGAAACUCAAGUACUAUGAUUGAACUGAUCUAACAAUUAAAGAUGCAAUUCUGCUGUGCAAAAAAAGAAUUCAACAUGAAACAGAAAGUGUGGGAUGACUGUAUGUAUUAUACCCUGGCAAAAUUUAGACAUUGCAGAAUGGAAUAGUUGUUGUGUCUCCAGAAAUUCUGUAAAAUGUAGGAAACCUGAAUUUGUUUGUCAAUGAAUGGCUACCAAGUGCUAUUGGUUGUAGAGUAACCAAAAAUGUUGUUGAUCGCUUUGGAAGGUAAGAGCAACUGUUGCCUUAGUUGGGAUGGUUUUACAAGUAAUGCACACAUUGCCCCAAAUAAGCAUGCUGUCAAGGUUCCAGUGUAGAGUUGGAUAGACGUCCUAAUAAAGGCAGUCCACAACACAAUCUGGACAGCUGUGUUCUAAUUUGGGAAGUGUUAUUGCUUUCCAGCUGAAUGUUUGAAUGCCUGCCUUCGCAUGGUUGCAUGUUGUAUUUGCUGAUGGAGUUUUGUCUGUUUAUCUGGCUUGUAGGGCUGGGCAGACCUAUUCGACGUGGCUUGGGGGGCAUGUCACUGAUUAAGUGGUCUCCUUCUGGAGAUUACUUUAUCGCUGCAAAAUUGUACUGUCACUUACCACUCUUACAAAAUAUUUUCUCAUGUCAUAAUCUUUAUAAACACAUCCUAACCCUUGAAACAAAAAGCAGAUGAAAUAAAAAGUUGAAAUCUUGCUGGAGAUAUGUUCUCACCCUAAUAGAGCAAUUGCCACUUCUUGCAGUGAUGGAACAUUUCAUAUCUGGGAGACUAACACUUGGACAUCAGAACCAUGGUCCUCAACGAAUGGUUUUGUAACGGUUAGACAAUCAUGCUUCUAAGUACUUAUGUCAACUUUGCCUUCUGCUACAUCCUACUUCAGUGAACUCCUUUUUUUUUUUCUUUUUUUUUGGGGUUGGGGGGUGGGUUAAGAAUAUUUACUAUCGUGGUUUACUAUUUUGACAUCUUUACUGUUUGCCAAGCUCUCUUUCUUCCAUUCCUUUUUGCCCAUCUAAUUCUUUUAUUACUAUUAGAUUAUUUCCUUGUUACAUUACCAUCAGAAGAAAAUAAAAGCAGUUCCACUUUCUCACUUUCUUAUCAUAUGUUACUUUGACUGUAUCUUAAUCAAAAUGUCAUUGUGAUCUCCAGGAUUUGCACUCAUGUAUUUUCUUAAAGCUUAUUAUACUUUUUGCCUUUUGAAUUUCAAUUUUUAAGUGUUCCCGUCUCUAAUGAUUCUAGUUCUGAACUUACUGGGGUUAAAGAGUGGAUAUAAAUAUGUGGUCACCAGAGGCGCAGAUAAAAUGUUUCAAUUGAUGUACGACAUUUAUUGGAAAUUGAUUAUUUUGUGGUGCCCGAUCUAUGAUGGAUUGGGGUUAUUGCUGUUACUUUUUGUCAACUGAUAUAUGUGAUUAUAUAUGGAGUUUGUGUUGCUGAUCUUCUUAUAUUUUAUUCAUCAUCAUUCACUGGAUUCUUUGUUUUCAUUUUGAGGCCAUCAUUUGGACAUGUAAUCUUCAAACUAUUCUGCUUAGUAGUUAUAUUUUGAUUGCCAGGGAGCAACAUGGGAUCCUGAUGGACAAAUGAUACUCAUCGCUUUCUCUGAGUCUACAACAUUAGGGUCUCUUCACUUUGCAUCAAAGCCUCCAUCCCUUGGUAUGUGAUAUUCACCUAGUUCCUGGGUCUGCAUAGUUGUAAUUGUUAGUUUGCUUUCUAAUUUCAUAGGUGUUUUGAUGUUGUUUUGUAUACAGUAAUGUAGGAAAAAAGCAUUUGUCUCAAGGUUCAUUUUCUGCUCUUUAUUUAAUGGUUGGAAGCAUAAUAGUUAUUGUUCAAGAAAAGGAGGACACAGCAGUUGGGAGAUGUCAAUGACUUAAAUUCAUGGUGAUCUCACAAGAUGCAUUAUGAUGCUGAUUUUUUUAAGCUUUAACUGACAUGUCAAGAUGAGUGCAUUACCCCUUUUAGGGCAGGGUGGUCAUAUUUUGCUUAUUUCCUUAGCUUCUUAACAGGCUUGUAACGUCUCCUUUUGCUUCAUAAGAUACCUCUUUGCUGCAGUGUUACUCACCUCAUAAUCGUCUUGUUCUAUGGUACUUUAUGCAUGAGGGAUUUUCUGUCUCUGUUUUGCUGCUGAAAAGUUGUUUUUUGGGAACUUCCAUAGGCAGUGUCUGAACUUAUGGGCACCCUAAUAUCUGUUUGCAGACUUUAACUUUCAACAGUAUUGUUUUCCAGAUGCACACCUUGUACCUGUAGAGUUGCAAGAGAUUCAGUCCUUGACCAGAAGGUUCAGAUGAUAAUGCCUUACUUCAUGAAAUCUUAUAAUUGUUGAAUAAUGCUUAUCUAUUUCUGAUCUUGUUAAUGGAUGUUGAUUUCCUUUAUUUGAGAUGAUUUAUGCUUGUAAUUCCUUUCAUCACUGGGAUAUGGAUUGGCUCUCUUUGACCAUUCUUUGUACAUUUCUCUUUGCUGAUCUAUUCCAAGUUAUAUCUGGUUAAUACUUGGAUUGUUCUCUGUAACUAUGGAUAAUUUUGACAAGAGAGUAUGGUUUGAGGAGUCUGGAGUAUUUUUUAAGGAAUUCCAUUGAAAAGUAGAUAUGAAAUUGUGAACUGGUGAAUGGUUAAUGGUUAAUGGAUUUGAUUUCAAUGUAAUAUACCCAUCAUGAUCUUACUUGGGACGGAAGGAACACAGUCCAAUAAAGUUUACUGUUACAGGAAUAAGGCAUAGGGACACUUUUAUUUGAGUAGCUGACUGAUCCAAAAAACGAAUUCUCUGUAUUAAUAUCUUUAAUAUGCUGAAAGAUUCUUAAGAUGCAUUCAUGUCCUAUGGAGGUAAUAAGUUGCAUCAUGGAAUUCCAUUUUAUUUCCUAGGUUACAUUAGUGGUGCUAUUUCCCCUGCCCGGUAACUGGGACUACCAAUAUUUGUCUACAUCUUGAAAGAGGGAUAGUUGAUCAAACUCAUUGCAGUUUGGCAUGUUGAGGUGACUGGUUAAUCAGUUAAUGAAAGACAUUUCUUGAAUCCUGUGAACCUGGUGAAACUUUCUUCUGUGUUUCUCCAUUUUGCUUAGAUAUUCUGGAUCAUAUGUCAGCCUUAUGCCACCAGGACGAGUCAAGGUCAGUGGUUUGAUACUAUUGCAGUAACUUCAUUUGGUCAUAGGCUGCCCUGGGGUAGUGCCGUGGAAGAUGCUUCCCUCCAGGUCAGCUGAUAUGGCUUGUGAUUUCAUCCUUUAGAUGAUAGUGCUGGGUGAGCUCCUCAAAUCAACACGUGAGACCACCCUUUAUAUGUGGCACUCUCAAAUUUAGCGGGAGGCUUGUCCAAUUUUGAAGGCUAUGGCCUGGGAGUAUUAGUUGGAACUGAAUGCAAUUUAGCUCAUCUGACAUCUUUAGGCACGUCACCUUCCACGCCCAAGUGGCCUGAGAUGCAAGUAUGACAUAGGCAGGCAUUAUUUAGGUUAUGUAGGUUCAAGUCAAGGUCUGCAACUUGCUAAUCAUAUGAACAGAGAUCAUGGAUCCACUCUUAAUCUCUUCAGAGCCCUGCUGCUGCCAUCAAGGCCUCUUAACUGCUUUGUCUUCUCCCUCAAUUGCCUCUCACCAUCCUCUCUCUCUCUCUCCUAUAGCACAUUGAUUAUUGAACUCCUAAGAAAUGUAAUGAUACUUGUUUUUCUUUUUGUGUAAAAUUUCAUGCAUGGGGGCAUUUGUUGUUAGAAUCGGUCCUUAAUUUCCUUAUCUUCUGUGCAGUAAAGGAAUUGAGAAGAUAGCAUGGGAUGGUUCAGGAGAGCGAUUGGCUUUGUCAUUCAAAGAUGGGGAUGAUCUGUACAAGGGUCUUGUGGCAAUAUAUGAUGUUAGGAGAACCCCCCUGAUUUCGGCAUCACUAAUGUAGGUCGAAUAUUGUGUUCUCUUAUCUUAGCUUCUUAGACCCUUUUCAGUGUUUUCUUAUGCUAUUUUGUUUGUGGAUACCAAUCAUUUCUGAUUCUUGUUCAUGUGUUUGGUUACAUAAAUCCAGUGGAUUUAUUAGAGGCCCUGGCGUUAAUCCCAAGCCAAUUGCACUGUCAUUUCAUGACAAGUUCAAACAAGGGCCCUUGCUAUCUGUGGUAAGUCCUAUGGCACCGUUCAUUUGCUACUGAACUGUGCCUGCCUUCUGGCCCUUUUUUUUCGCAUUUUGAUAUGAUUGCAAAGUUCAUGGAUUCAGGUGGCAAAAUGUACAAGAACUCUGAAUGCGCAUCAUAUAACAUGGACAUCCCCUGUGUAUUGAAUUCUCUUAAAGCACAACUCUUUACGCUUUAAGGACUAACUUAAGUUCUUGUCUCAGACUUGGAGCAGUGGAAUGUGCUGCACCUACCCACUCAUAUUCCGCACGCACGUUUUACCUUAAACCAAGGUAUUUUUUGUUUUUUUUUUUUCUCUUUACCUGGAAAAAUCUGCUGUAUCCGUACCAUAUGGUUCCAUUUUCUUGAAAUAGUAGUACCUUAAGUCUGUACUCGUCAACAAUAGGUCUGGGCUACUCUGGUCGCCGCAGUCGAAGUACCUAUCAUCGUGUCAUUAGACAGCUGCAGUUGUCAUAAAGUUGCUGGUGAAGCAUUGAGUUCAUCUUCGUAGUCUCUCUUGGAGGCCAAAAAAUGAAGUAGGCCGUAUAUGAUGUUGCUUUCAGCCAAGGAAAACACUACUAUCAUCAAUUUUUAUCACUAGUAGGAACAAAGUGAAUAGAGAUGUUUAAAGUGAUGGAAGCUAAAGUGGGCGGGGAGGUUAUGUAAAUGAUUUGCUGUCAACCUCAUCUCUCUUUUGAAACCUUAUUUGUGCAUCUUCAAGUUAAUUAUGCUUCAAGUGAUUGUCAAUGUUCUCGAGUCUGUAGAUUUUUCUGUUCAUUUUUUAGUCAUUUUAUUGUCAUUAGCUAUGAACAUGAAGCUGUAGUAUUUAUACAUUUUGAAAAUGCACCUGGAAAAGUGGAGGAGCAGUGGUUUUUGGAAGAACUGAUAGCUAUUGCAAUUUUAUUCAGUUCAUUUUUCGCUACAAAACCAAUGCAGUUUUUGGUGGAAACUGAAAGGGUAGCAUUUCUUCUGGGAAGAGAGAUGGGGCUGGCCAGUGGCCAGGUAUCAAGGAGAGAAUUUUGGACAAAGUUUGGUCAGUUAAGAAUGUAAAGAAGAAUGGGAAAUCAAUCGACUUCCCUAUAAUUGAAAUCCAAAUUAAAGCAUGAACAUCUGUUCUACUUCUUGGCUGGCUGAAUCUGUAAAGGCUUUGCAACAAGGUAUCGAAAUUAAGGCUUCUUGUGCUUGUCAUCAGAGCGAUACUGUCAGAGCUGAGAUAGAUUAGGCUCAAUUCUGGCAUGAAUCUGGAGCUGGAAUAUGAAGCUCAGAUGUUCAUUUUCGGAAAGUCCAUCUAUAUAUACACCUGGUUAAAAGCAGGGAUGAAUUAUUAAACCUCGUGGAGUACAUGUUUUGCAGUAAUACAAUACAACGGACUAGUUACUCGAAGGAAAGAAUCCUAUAGGCAAACUCUCUGCAUGGGGUUGUUUUAGUUUGUUUUCAAGGCAAAUGUCAUUUAUGAUAAAAUCAAGAAGAAUGCUUUAGACUGAAAUCAUCUUAUUACUUAUUAAUGCCUGAGCUGAGAGGAUUAUCUGUCCCUCCUGCUAUUGAUUGGCUUCCAUGCAAAAGAAUGCAAUGAGAUUAGGAUUUAGGCCAAGGAAAGGAGCAGUUGUCAGUUCAAAUACUCACCAUUGUAAUUAUUUUUUCUCUUUUCAGACAUGUUAAUGAUACAUUUACCGUUUUGGUUAGCUAUUUAGGAAAAAGGGACACUUCAUUUUCCCUUUUUUUUUUUAACCCAUCCCUCUUCCUAAAAUUGUAAUUGAGUCGAGCUCGAGUAUCGUGGUACUCAAGUUUGACUCAACACUAGGAAGGCAUUACUCGAACUCGACCUCGAGCGAGUAGCAGAAAAAGAGCUCAAGUUCGAAUAAUUGUUCGAAUACUUGAGAUCGACUCGAUUAUGCUCGAUUUUUCUUAUGUACUUUUACACAAUUUACAAAGAUGAUUAAAUUUCAAUAGCAAUAUUUAAAGUGACAUUUGCAAAGCUUGAAAAAAUAUAUAUACUAAAUUACAAUUCAUGCGGGGGUUCCUAGUGACACGGGCUGCACCUAAGUUGCGUGCGGUUGUGCCUUUCCGCACGGGCAUCCACGCGUGCCCGUGCCUAGUCGCACGCGACCGUGCCUGGUCGCCCGCACGACAGUGUCUGUGCAUGCACCCGCGUGUGCGACUGUGCCCAUCCGCACGACUGCCCGCGCACGACCGUGCUUAGUCACACGCAACUGUGCCUGGUUGGCUAGGGUUAUUCCACAGGAUGCUAGAAUUGUGGAGAAGAUUCUAGAAUCUUGUGGAAUACUCAUGAACCUUAUGGAUAAGCAGGCACCUUGAGAAUAAGGAUGAACCUUGAGGAUAAACAUGACCUUGUGGAUAGGGGUUGACCUUGUGGAUAAGUUUUGACCAUGUAUAUAAGGUUUAGAUUUGUAUAGAGAAUUCUAAGACCAUGAAGUAUUUUGACUUGCCUAUAAAUAGACCAACCCUUUGUAUUGGAUUGCAUUUUCCAUGGAUUUUUCGUUGGAAAAUUACUGUAGCGAUUUGAUGUAUGUGAGGUAAAAAGGUGAUAGAGAAAUGUGUUCACGGAAAACAAGGCCAUUUUUCGAUGGAAAAUGGCAAUCCAAACAAGGCAGCUUUCCUUUGCCACAAACACAUAUCUUUGUCUAUUACUUUUGCGCUUCCGCAUAAUAACUGUGCAUUAAGUGUUAAGGCUGAACUAGCCAAACAUCAUAGUUUGAGACUUGAACGUAUGCUAGUGCUGCAUGGGUGUUGGCUCGUAGAAAAAACAAGCAGUCCGUGAUGCUAGGAACCGAAGGGACUCAUGUGCAAAUCUCACUAAUUGGCCGUAAGCCCUUGUUUUUUGGGUUUUUGGGAAUUUUAGGACCCAGACCGGACACAAAAACUGAACUGGGGCUCUUAUCUUAUCCAUAACCAUACGAGAGAAUGAAUGAAAGAAUGGGAGGAGGGAGCAGCAGAGAUAGUAGCAGCAAGUAGAAUUGGGCAUUUCAGCAAUGGCUCUCCUCCUCCAAAUUCCCGCUUCCAGUACGAGGGCUACCGUUUCAACUCUGCUUUCCUCUCUUUCCUCAUCUUCAUCGCCUUCACUAACUUUUGCCCUCACUUCUUUUCCGCGUAAGAGUAUAAUAAUUAAUACCCCUCUUCUUUUUAUCGCCAUUUCUCCGUCUGCGCAUUUUCACACUUUUUUUUUUUGGUUUCUUUUUCCUGCAAAAUAUGUUCUUGAUUGUUUAGAACUUCUGGGUUCUUUAUUCCCUUCGUUGCUAGUGAUUGUUCUGUUGCAAAGACAUUUGCUCUUUCCCACCAGCUCAGCAUCUUCAAUUGGCUCUUUUUUUUUUUUCCUUUAAAAAUUUUAUCUUUGUCCUGCAUUAAUGCUGCUCAGUUGCCGAAACAUUUGAGCCUUCUUCAUCUUUUUUAUUGGAGAUUCUGAUCAUUUAGUUGUACCAAGUAUCUAAUUUCGUGUUCAUAUGUUUCCAUGCACCCUUUUCCCCUGAAUGUUUUGUCUUUCUGGUAUUCCAUCGACUAUGUUGUCUGCGUUUUCGUCCAGUUGAGUUAUUUGUUGGAUGUUGGAUUUUUUUUUCCCUUGAUCUGUUUGUCCAUUUUGCGUGGAUUUUAAAGUGGAGGUAGCUUUGCUUGAAAUUUAUUCUGCCAAGGACAUGUUAUGGUUUUUCAGUUCAUAUAAUGUGGAUCAGAUGCAUUUUCAGAUGUUGUUAUGGCCAGACGCUUGAGAAAUGUAGUUAAUUAUUCACAGCUUGUGUCAUGUAGCCCUCGUAUGAAUCUAAGAUCAGUUCAAAAGGAUAAUUCAUUCCCAUUUUCAUUUAGCAUUUCAUAGCUGUACUGGGUAAGAUAAUCUGAUUUUUCAUUUUCCUUAAUCACUUGCCUUUUUGGUCUUUUUGCUAGUUUCCAGGCUGUGCAACAACCCUUUGGCUGCAUAUCCCAAACCGUAUGUUGCAUGCAGCAUUCAGCCGCCUUUCCUUCAGAAGGAGAGGAGGGCACCGCUGGCUAAGGCAUCUGCUGAAGGCGCGAACUCGGAUGGGCCUGAGCUUCCGUCAGAGAGCGAGGAGGAAGAUGUGCCCAUUCAGAAUCUUCCUCUGGAGUCCAAGCUUCAGCUGAAGCUUGAGCAGAAGAUGAGGAUGAAGUUGGCAAAGAAAAUCAGGCUACGAAGAAAGAAGCUGGUUAGGAAGCGUCGCUUGAGGAAGAAGGGGCGAUGGCCACCAUCAAAGUUGAAGAAGAACAAGAAUGUUUAGUGUUUGUCGGAAGACAUCUUCCAGGUUGAGUGCUGGCACAUUUUCUUGCUUAUGCUUGUUGGCAUUCAUCUUCCAUCACUUCCAUCAGUUAAUUUUUGUGUAAUGUAGUUAGAAACUCAGCUGCUAAGUACAAAUGCAUAACUUCCAAAUGGUUUAUCAAAUCAAGAGAUCUAUUGUAUUGACCGGGUUGCUUUUGCUCUUUGUGCUGGACUAUUCUAGGCAUUACCAGAUGAUCGGCAGAUUUUUUUUUUUUUUUUCACUUUUGUCACAUCAAGAUUCAUCAAAAUUAGUGAAAUCACCAUUAUACUCAGUUUGGCCCUUUUUCGAUCAGUUAUAAUUGCAUUUUCUGGUUACCUUUUGUUCUUGGGGCAGUUGACUUGUUUGUGAAUUCUUAUACGGUUUGUGCUGGAGGCUAUAUGAUCAUCAAAGCUGAGAAAAUUCCUUCUACUUCUUAUAAACCAGGUACUUAUAUCCGAAUAAAAUGUGAAUGCUCUAUAGCAUGCUGGGAACAGCUGAAACAGUGUUGUUUAUUCUCUUAUAAAAAAUAACAAAAAUACAACUUAAACUGAUUUUACUAAUUAAGAUUGAAGGUUGGGAAUUCUCCUGUGGUGGUUAAAGAAACCAUCAAUUUUGUUCCAAAUGUUUGAAUGAAAGCAUACAAUUACAGGAUUGCUGGAUUUUGAGGAUGAUACAAACUUUUUGGAUAUUAUGUUGGAGAAAGUUUAUGGUGGGGGAAUAGGGUAUGAUUUUUUUUAAUGGGUUUUGGCAUCAAAUUUUGGAAGAAAAAGAAGUGUUGAUGUGCUUAAAUAGGAGUUCUACAAAUUUUGUCGAACAAAAAGCACCACUCUAGAAAUCUACAUUCAUUGUUCAUGAAAUUUUUAUGAUUAUGUUGAGUUCUAUUUUUCUGAGGACAAAAUGAUUUACAUGAUGCGCUUUUGUUAACAAUAAGGGGAGCUGAUAAAUAUAUUAAUGUUUGGUUUCUUGUGGCUAUGUUUAGCUUUGAGGGUUGAAAUCCUAAAUAAAUAUCUGUCAAUAUCUGCUUCCUAUAUUUGAUUAGUCUUCUUUUGUCAAGAAAAUUGUAUAGCCUUCACUCUUGGACCUGCCUAAACAAUGCAAAGCCAGCUUUAUUGGUGUUGUUAUGAUUGAGGCAAGCAAUCCUGGUUCAUUGCUAUGUUGGUGUUGUUUUCAGCGCAUCCAGGAGGCCAUUUUGUUUUGCUCCCUGCUGUGGCGUUGUUUGAUCUGCUAAGAAAAGACUUUUUAGUUUCAGCUGCAGACACCAAAAUGGACGUCAAGAGCGAUUUGCAGCUCAAAAGUUCCAUCAUGCUGGUGCUGUGCUGCUCACCAAUUCCACAAUGAUGGGAAUUGACAUCCGUCUAAUCUAACAGAUGGAGGAGAGUUGCUCAACCGUACACAAAAGGACACCUUGGAGGGGGCUUGAUUUCAAAGAAACGAGACCGUUUCUUUACCCCUUCCUUGCCUGUGUCAUUUCUUUACUGUUCUCAUAAUCGGCAGAAAGAUGCAUUAUUCAAAUCACUUCCCUUGCAAUGGAAUGCCUUUUUUUAAGCACAAACAGAAAGAAAAUUCGAUACUUCUUCAACAAUGAAAGAGUGUAAACGAAAUACAGUGCAGUAUAGGAUGAAGAAACACGUCCAGUCCAGUGCUGAGUGAUAAAUAACAACGAUUGGUCUAAAGAAGCCAAGAAGGAUAUAAAACCUCACACAAUGACACAAUCAACCAGUUAAUAAUAACAGCCUACAAGGGAAGGGACUAUAAUGCAUAAGAGUUUUGUACGAAAACUCGCAGUUUCACAAGACAAUACACUGAGGAUAAAGAGUCUUUCUCCAUUCUUGACAAACUUACAUGAUGCACCGCUAUUGACUGCACCAUGCCAGUACAACUUUAUGCGGCAGCCAACAAAUGUCUCUCACUCGAGCAUUCCAUUCUCUCGUUCUUCGUCUUGCACCUUUACUUUUCGCUUUCCUCCUUCACCGGUUUCUUUCAACGUCAGACCCGUACUAAUGCUUCUUCACAUUUUUUCAGCGUUAAGACAAUGGCGCCUCUGUCCCAUCAUUCCCACUCUUCCGUUCAUUCCACUCUUCUCCUAGUCAACUUACAUCCAGAACGGAAGUUUUAACCGCUUUGAUUUGUUUCUUUAUCUUUCCAUGUGUUUUACCACUUUUGGCCAACUCUCAUCAGGUCAAUGUCGAGUAUGUCAAGUUUGCCUGAUAUGUUCCAAGGCUUAAUGUACCCUGAACCACCAGACAAAGCCUUGACGGGUUGUUAUUAACUAAACCAACUUACCAGUCUGCUUUAUAUUCUACAGAGAAUUGCUGUCAGGGGAGGGAAGCAGGACCUAACAACCUUUCACUUCCCACGGCCUAAAUUGUCCAUGUAGAAUGCCAAAAAAAAAACAAAAGAACCUGCACGACGAGAACAAGAAGUUGGACAGACUUCUUUUUCCUUCUGUACAUUUGCCAGCAGCCAAUUUGCAUUACGACAAUACUUAGAUCUAGCAUCCCGAUUUCCUUGGUGCUGCUUGUCUCAGAAUGAUUGGUUCCUACACAUUGUACACCUUUUUCCCUUUCCAAGUUUCCUUUUUGUCAGACCAACAUUUCACCUUGAAGAAUGUUGAAUUUGCAGAGAGGGCAGGUUGCAUUAAUUCGCAGCCAUCUGCGGAUGCAUCGGUAAUGAAAAUGGUGGUUGCAGGGGAGAGUGCACACCUCCACUCCAUCCUCAUAGCCAUGAAGGCAUAUGCAGCAUUCCUGCAAUGGGUAAGUAUUCAAACCAAAGCUCAGAGUUACGGUCAUGAUUAAAACAUAAGGAAUUAGCAGUAAGAAACAUCAACAAUUAUGUUGUUCAGAAAAACAGCAGGUAUGAGAAGGCUGAAGACCAGAAUAUAUCGGAGUACUCAAACCCAGGUGACUUUCAACCUAAAAUUGGGGGAAAAAAGCCAUAAGAAAUUGAUUAAAGAGUUAAAUACACAAUUACCCAAAGUUAAUUGCUAAGUUAUCAAUUUACGGCUGGCACAUGUUAGCAAAUAUUAACUAAAUUGACAAAUAAAAUGGUUACAUAACACAGACGAAUCUCAACCCAAUUCAUCUGCCAAUUCAACUGUCAAAAAGAGGCACUAUUCCAACAUACAAGGAAUUAGAAUACCAUGCCAAAAGCCAUCUUCAAUCUGCAAGUCAUGAUCAAAUAUUUCCAAAGUCUUACCAUAAAGUCUAUAAUACAUAUGUUAGUAGAUGAUUUUCCAGUAUAGUGAAAUGGCACUUAAGAAGGGUGUUAAGCAUGAUUCCUGAACUACUAAAAGCUGAAUACUGAAGAGUUGACUGACAAUCACACCCCAAGAAAGAAUGCCCACAAAUCCAAAGCUUAGACCACUCAGUCAGUCAAAUGUUAAAUGAUGCACACAUCUAUAACCAACUUGCAGAAGUCAAAAGCAUAAGGAGGACUAUAUUACUUAAUAGCAUAUAGUAUAUCAAACAAAGAGGUCAGUACCCAAAUGCAAAAUAACAUAACAAGCAAUUUAGCCUGUCAAACUUUUGCUUUUGCCAGUUGCUAUAUUCUCGGAAAGUAAUUUUGUUAACUAGACACCAAAAAGAUGCAACUGUAAAAGCUUUAUCUCUGCAUAUGUAAAGACUAAUCCAAGAAAUUUAGAAGGCGACCUUCAUGGUCCAAGUAUACAAAACUAAGUUCUUCAAGUGCUGCAACGUCUUCUCCAAAACCCCACACUUAGGAAACUGUGCAAUUUUCUGCUGUAUAAACUAGAAUCCAUAAAUAAUUUUUGCCACAAAAUGUGCAGCCAGGUCAUCAACCAACUUGAGUGUUUGGAAUAUAAGCUUCGGUGGGGAAUCCUAUGAAAUUCCUACCAAUAGAGCAGAGGAGACAUAUCAAACUUGAUUUUGUACCAGUUCUGUUAAUUGCAACCAUACAGCUUAUGCCAUGAGGAAGCAGAUAUGUUAAGAUUGCGAAAGCUUCAAACUGUUAGUGGCUCAUUGUAUUCAUGCUCGGUUUUAAGCAGCAGACCAACUCUUGAGGUGGAUAGAAAGAGGAGUGAGCUUAGCUUAAGGAGUUUCCUAUCUGAAACUUUGAAAAGUGCUCUUCCAGUGGAUAUCUCCCUUCAAAAACAACAAACUUGGAGCUGUACACGCUAGACAAUGGAUUACAUAGCAUUCUAUAUGCAAUAUCAGGAAUAAUCACUUCUUUGACUCAACUGAUGAGUUAUGAGGGAUCUGACUUUAAUAAUUUGCUUCUGAAAUAUAGACAGGGAAAAGGAUAGGUUUAAGCAAGGGAGAAAGCCAUUCUUCAGUGUACUGUUGUAUUAGAGGUCAAGCAUUUCACAGUGAAAAAAAAAUAAAGAAAAUUUGAAAAGCAAAAUAUACAAAAAAUCUACUCUCACUCUUUCAGUCUCCUUGAUUUCUGAUGGCGUAUAACAAAAAGAACAAAAACAAUAUUAAUUGUCUUCCGAUAUACCCUUUAUAUGUGGAAAACAAGAAAUUUGAAUGUUCUUAAGAACCUCUUUUUACUUGCUCAUUGUUUUCCAAGUUCGCAAAGGAGUGAAAGGAGCGAAAGAGAAGUUAACAGAUAAAUGGGAAAGAAACAAGUCCAUUUCAAUAAAUAGAUAGAGGAUGUUGUAGAUGCUUACAGAAUCCUCCAAACUGAGGGCAAGCUCAGGGAUGUUGCCGCUGCCCAGGUGAGCUAGUAAAGCAGCUUCUUCUCGCUUUCUACAAGAACUGAUAGUCCCUGCAGCAUUAGGAAGGCAAUAUCUAUACUUGGGAAGAGUCCUUAUAUCAUUUUCAGAAGCUCCUUCCCCAACUGUCAUAGCAUGUGCAACCCUUGCCAAUAUUGGGAAGCAACAUGCCAGCAAUACAAAAAAAAUGAACGCCAUUGCAAUGCAAAAUAUCAUGAAGAAUACAUCGAAAGCCAGAAAAACCACUGAUAACCUGCAGCAGUUAUAUAUGCUUCAGUUAGGGCCCCCUUUUACAAGUGCAGACUAACUGUCAUGUUUGUUUGCACAGAAAAAUAUUAUUCACAGAAAACCCAAAUAGAUUGUACUAAUAUUUUUGCAGAAUUUUCACUCCCUAGACAUAAAUGACAUCCUCGUUCCGUUUGUUUCCAAAAAUUUGGAAAUUUGAUUAUAUUUGAUCUCAUUUCUCUUUCUGGUUAUGCAUGAAAACUGAUUAUAAAUGGAGAAUGCAAGAACUUUUCCAAUUUCUCAGGCAGACAUUUACUGAAGAAAAAGGAAAAACAAGACAAUAAAGAUGUUAAAAGAAUUUGAAGGAGCAAUUUAUGUAGGGAGGAUAGUCACUAGGGCCUCCAAUCCAGAAGGGUUACCAGAGCAACUACAAAGAUACUCUUAAUGAAGGCUACAUUUCUUGGUUCUUUCUUUGCCUGUUGGCUAAGAAAUUUAAUAUUUCAUAUAUCGGGCUACAUUUGAAGCCUCAAGAUGAAUUUGACUCCAUAAAUCAGAGGACAUAUAGCACCCACGGAACCAUCUUUGUCCAACAACUACCCUUCAACACGUUGCAAGAAAUUGUCAAUUGAUCAUGGAGCUUCUUGCAAAGGAUGACAAAUUUUAGAGCCUUUUUCGGGGGAGAGGGGGUGGUUUGAGGGAUCAUAAUUGGAAUACAAUGCAUAUGAUGGAGCUCCAAGUUCUCUAAUAAGCUAAACUUCCAUAUCCUACCACUUCACCAAAAGCAGCUUUCAUAUUCUUUUUCAAAAAUAAUCCAAUUGGAUCUAAAUAAGUAAUAAGAUUUUCUGAAACCUUCAAAUAAGAUUCAUACCAGUAGAGACGGGGCGAAUCUUGCAAAAGUGCCUUUCCACCCAUAUAUAUCCAAUAGAAUCCAAACACCCACCAGACGGAUGAAAUAACUGUGUUGAUAGACUCUAGCCUCUUGACAAAACUACAAAAGAGAAUAAGAUUGUAGAGUAAGAAGUAAUAUCUUUUGUUUAUAUGCCGAGGACUUCAUCAUGGUAAAAAUCCAUUCACUUUAAGCUGCCCAUUUCCCUAAUGGAAAGACAAGCAAAAGGAAGAAAGGAAAGUUGAUUAAGUUUUGUUUCAUUAACCUUCAAACCAUUAAGCCGAAUUAUGCAUGCUGCAAUCCAAAAGUGGUAAAUCCUACUAUGGCCUAUUAAAGUUGAACAUUUAGACUGAUAUACCAUUUAAUCAAGUUUACAGGGAGCUGAAAUAUCUCCUGUACUAAUUUGGAGCUUAUAAAAACAAGAAGGAAAGGCCAUGUUCCAGUCAAACUAUGAACAAGGACAAAAGUACAGGCAAAGGAGCAGCCAUGGAGCUUGCAUAUCCCGCUGUGGAAAAUAUACUAUGAUUUACAAAUAGAUGUUAUUCUAAAACAUUUAAGGUAUCAAAUCAACAGCCAAAAAGAUUCUUUUAUUUUGUGCAUACAUGUCAGCUCUUCUUCUUUGACUAGUGUCUGACUACCUUUAUACCUUCCUUUAUCUUUCUUGUUGCCCUAUUGAAUUGGGGGUCAGAUACCUAAAUCAGAAACUUACCCCAAAUGGGUUGGAAUGAAUCAAUUAGGGGGUAAGGAAUCACAGAAACAAGAAUUUAGUAAGAGCAAGAGUUCCUAAAACACGAGAAAGAGAAGAAGCAUCAUACCCUCGGCGACAAAGAAGAGAAAAUGGAUGAAAGGCAUGGAAAUGAUGAAUGUAAAAGUGGCUGCUUUGAGAGUGAAGCCAAACAAAGCCCACAUGCAAGAGGCACUGCAGAGCAUAGCCACCAAUCCAAAGCCUUAAAGGGGUGGUGGGUCUCUCGGUGACGGUAGUCAAAAGCACAAAGGCAGCCACCAACACAAACCCCAAGUUCCAUAUCAAAUCAAGAAUCACGAAGGGCCUCGAGAAUGGACAUUCUUGGCCUACUGGGAGUGAUGGGCCACGGCCACGGUCAUCCUCGUGCUCCUCCCUCUCCUCCUCCUCAUCAUCAUCAUCGUAGUCAUUGAAGAAAAUCCUGUGGUGGUUCAAGGUGGCGGAGGUCAGUCUGGAGAAUGUGGUGGCUAUAUUGGUGGGGGCCCUUGUGUUAUUGUUGGAGCUGCUGGUGCUGCUGCUGUGGCCAUUCUGAAGAAGAAGCAAGCCUUGCUGCUGGUUAUCCAAGUCCAUUUAUAGGGAUGAUAAAAUUCCGGUAGCUGCAAUCUACUGUUUUGCCCGGUGAGAGAGAGCUGCAGCGGUCGGUGGCGGUGGUGGAGUUUUGUUUUGUUUUGUUUUGUUUUGAGAGAUACAGUUACAGUAGCAGUAGAGCAAAGAUAUGGUCUGUUGGUCGACUCUGCUGCACUGUGGGAAGUGGGGGCCUACUGAGGACUGAGGAGAGACAAUCAAUCAUCCAUCCGUGCAAUUGCUGUUGGGAGUAUUAUUUAUACACACACUCAAAUCCCUUUGUAAUACACUAUCUAUCUAUCAAUCUACGUCUGCUAUUCCUUCAAUACUUUUUUUUUUUUUUUAUGAUACCAUCUACGUCUACUUCUACUCUUUCUACUCUAAUAUAUAUUAGUGAGUGAUUCUGAGAAAUCGAUGGAAAUUAAAUCACCAUCAGAUUAUACAGUCCAGUGGUAUUAGACAUCUUCUAAAAUUAGUAAGUUUUGUCCAAAAAAGAAUAGCUUUUAUCAUCAUAAUUGGUGUGUUUUUUAAUUUUAUCAAAUACACUGCUAGCAUAGCCAUUUAUGGAAAAUGCAUUUUAUCCAUUCACUCAAACUUAAAAAGGGUUAUAAGUACAAAGUAUUUUAAAUUUCUUUCUUGGAAUAGAAAUAAUUAAUCUAAAUUAGAUAAGAUGUAUAGAUGGUCGAGUCUUUAUACAGGGAGAAAAAGUGCAUGAUUACAGUGCAUGCACCUAUAAAUAUUUGCAGUAGUAAUUUGUAUGCAUGUACCAGUUGCUGCAAACGAUUAUGCCACUCUAUUAGUAUUAGAGAGGAUGCAUCCAUAACAUAUUCAUGUGCUUUCGCUUCAAUCCAAUGACUACAAUUUAAUUAUUACAUAACAAAUAUACAUAACUUCAUGUUUAGUUAUAUAUAUAUAUAUAUAUAUAUACAUAUAUUUUAUCGCAGGUGAUCAAUUUCAUAAGAAGACUUGAGUAUUGAUGGAUAUUCUUUUUUUUUUUCGGAGACGAUAAACCUAAUCUAUCCUACACUAAGAGGAGGGAGUGGACCUAAAGAGCUCCAGAGAUAAUCCGAAGGGGACUGAAUCAUCAUCGGACCAGACGGGUGCACAGCACACCCGCCUGAAUUUUUUUUAGAAACAAGCCACUUAAAUGUGGCAUUUUUUGGUGCCCUUGCCUCCCACCCUACCAACUAGGUGGUGGCCACCAGCCCAAAGGCCGGUGGUUGAGUAUUGAUGGAUAUCCAAAAAGGAUGAAAACAAUAAUAUAAUCGAUGAUAGUCUUUCCGGUUCUCUUGUGUCGCUGGUUAUUUCCUUUUCUUCGUUAUUAUAUGUGUACUUAACAGUAAAUAUUUAAAUUUGCUCUAACUCAUUCCCUGUAUUUUGCUGUUUAUUUGUUAUUUUUCAUUGUAAUUAAGAAUAAAUUCUAUAGAACAACACAAAGGAUAUGUUGCUUAGAUGGCAAAGGAAUUCUUUAUGCUGCUGUCAUUUUAGUUCAAGGGGGAUACUUUCGUAGUGGUAAACAAAAAGAACAACUUUGAACAUGAAUGCUCAAUAUUUCAUUCAGAGCCAUUAGUACAAGUUAUUAGGGAGGGAAAGAUGCAUGUUCUUGGACCUAAAUGGCCUGUGACAUCGUCAACAAUGUCAACAAAUCAAAGGAAGUAAAAGUAUGUGGAUAAAGUAAGACGGCCAUGGACUUCCCAGCAGCUUUCAGGGGGCUUUGGACUGGUAUCACCUGCAUUCAGAUUAAUUCACGAUCAGACUGCAAAACAUAAUAUUGUCAUCUGAGAAUCCCUAGACAAACACUUUUUGUGAUCGAUCGAGGUAGCAUGUCCUGCAGUAUUUCGGAAAAAUACAGCAGGAAAAGCAUUCUGGUUCAUACCGCUUGAGUUCAGACAAAAAUCAAGAAUACUUGUACAGGCCUACACGUCGGUACCAAUUAUGGAAACUACUGUAUUCCAACUACUACUGAAAUGGCUUUGAAUCUAUCCAGGCAAUGGCUGCAUGGUAGGAUAAUGAAAUCCUGGACAUGCAUGACAAAAACAGACAGCUAAUUUUCAGAAACUUUGUGAAUUCCUCAAGCACUACAAACUCAAAAGCAUGAUUCUCAAGUACCUUAUGUGGUUCUUUGAAAGAAUUCUCAUCCAUCAAACUGCUAGAUUUCAAUAUAGUUUGUGUGGAACCAAUUGCCUGUAUUAAGUUUGAGUCCAAAUUGUCAAUGGUUAUCUUAAGAUUCACCGUGCUGCUGCCAAAGUUCACAACCUGCAAAAGAUGUUCGAACAUAAAAUUGCUGUUAAACGAUCAAAUGAAAGUCCAACCAUUCUUUCGUUUUCUAAUAAGAACAGGACAUAGAUGGCCUCAAAUCCAAUAUUAUGCUAGUAAGACAUAAGAAAAAGCCUAGAUCAUGGAGUAUGCAACUUUAAGAAGAAGAAAAUCAUACUGAACUGCUAUCUUGAAUUUCCCUAUCAGGAUUUCGAGAUGUUCUAAGAAUUGCCAUCAAGAAUUGCAGGCAUCUCAGUAACUUGAAUUCACAGUUAUUUCCAUGCUAUGGCAAUGACAAAUAAAUUUAAGAAGUUGACUCGAGUGAUUCUACGACCAAAAUUAGCAAGCUUAAUGUCAUGUUCUGUGCUAAUAAAAGAGAGCAAUCCAACCUUGAUUCUCAAAUAUUGUCUACCAUCAUCCGAGGAUUUCCAGAGUAUAGCAGAUGCAGCAAGUGAAGCUGAGGUCUUGGCACCAAGAGUGGAAUUAAGAAGCAUUGCACCAUUUGAUUCUUUGAAAAAGGUCUGCAUCCAGUAACUAGGUGUUCCAUAGACCUUUGAAGAAUCGAAUACAAUAGCAUCGGGAUUGAACCUAAUUAAGAAAUGAUUUUGUUCACAACACAUACUACAGAAACAAAGAUCAUAAAACAGAUGGAGAGAAGAACUUAGGCAUACCGCCUGUCAUUCACAUUCACAAAUAGAGGGGCAUUGCUCGCCAUCUCAACAGCAUCACUGCAUUGUGGAAGUAUAGCUAAGUCUUCAUUUUUUUUCAAAUUUUUGUUUAUCCAGAUAGCCAUAACAGUGAAGACAUUAAGGCACUGUGACUAAGCAAAUAUUUGUGAAGUAAAGUAGUGAAAUAUCAACAUUUCGGGCAAGUUGCAGUCAUGCUAGAAAGUGUCUGGCAGUUUGACUAUUUAUUCAAGUUGGUGAUCAGCUCUUGGUAGAGUAAACCUAGGCGAUUCUUGGGAGGCUGAUUUUUCUCAGCUAAAUAGCUUAUACAAUCAAUUGAUCUAAGGCAGGAUUAUGAGCAGGAUUAAUUGGUUAUGGUUACUCAGUACAAGAGAGUAAGUAGUCUGUCUAGUUGUGCUCAUUUUCUCGUCCAAAUACAAGGCUUUUCAUAAAAGGAUCAGACAUUUAAACGUAUCAUCAUCAGAAUACCUAAACUUCUGUUGAGUUACUUUCUCUUCGAUGAUAAGCCACAUAAUCAGUAAUUUCUCCUUAAGGCAUAGAUGGGAAAUCUGAAGUGCUCCACAUUGGAAGAACAACCAAAACCUACUAGUCCUUGUAAGUUUAAGUACAGAUUGAAGUUUCUUUCUGCAAACCAGACCCGCAUGAGCUUUUGUUAAGUUACUUGUUUGAACUGUUUGAUUCCAUUACACUACAUUAAAACUUUCAUCUCUCUGUCUCUCUGUCUGGGUUCCAUACAUGUACCAUUAUCGAGUAAACUUGGUAAAGAUUCUUCUUAUCUUAUACUCCACCCUACAUAAUUAAUGAAUAGUUUUUAGAACAGCAGCUGGCUGCAUGAUGCUAUGAAUAACUUCAAAGGAAAUCUGUAACAGGGGAAAUCAGGGAAGUAUGCCAUCAAAAAAAUGCUUCAAUUUGCAGCUAUAAACUCAUGCUUCAACAGCUCUAUCCUUACAUGCACGAUCUGGUCACUACCUUGCUGCAUCCCCUGACUUACCAUCCACGAGAGUUUAUCAUUAUCUGUACUAUGAGUAAAAAGAUGAACAUACGCGCAAUGACAAGUAUUGAAACGGAAAUUCUGGGGGAAAACUGCAUAUACCUGUUUCUUUCAAGGCCAACAAGCAAUCCAGCUUGAGCAAGUGCAGCUAAAAGAUUUCCAUUACCUGCAUCUUUUCCAGUCACAGCGUAUUCGCUGACAAAAGCCUGGAAAACCAUUUAAGAGGCUUCAGAAGCAUCACAUAAGAAAAACAAUUUACAACACUUGGAAAAUACUUCUGCACACCUUAGGUCCGAGACGUGCUGUACGGUCAAAGUUACGAGCCGAUGCAAAGACAUAAUUAGCAUCACCAUAGACCUACCAGAGAAAGGAAGGAAAAGUGUAGCAAAAGCAGGAAACAAAAAGCCAACUGGUAUAUCAGUACCAAGGCUUCAAGUAAGCUGUCGCAAUUCAUAAAAAAAAAACUUGAAGAUCUUACGUGGAAAUCGUAAAAAUCUGCUGGGUGAUCCAAUGGUGUGGAAGACGCAUCACAGUUGGAGAUAACAUUGAUAUCUGGAUAUGCAUUCUUUAUUGCUGAAUAGAACUUGUGAUAGUUGCCUAAUUCAUGAUUAAGAAUGACUUAGUUUAAUUUCAUUCCACGUAAAUUAUGUAAUUUAAAUAAACAGGAAGCGAAUUCAAGCAGUGAUUUCGAAUCAUAGUAAGGAUUCUGUCAACAGAAUGAUGUAAAUUUAAAAACUUUGUAGAUGAUUUCACUUGUCGAGUAAGGGUUUUUAUAUCUUUUAGUUUCCUAGAGGGGAAGAAAUUACCACAGAAAUAGCACAGUAAAUAGACAAUGUUCAUAAUGCAAAUGUAAUUUUGUUAUCAUUCUUCUGCAGUGUAAGUAGAAAUCAAGUGUGUGGCAAGAGCCAUUGCAAUUUGUUGAUAGAGAUGAGCUAAUGAGAACUGUAAGGCAAAAAAAUAAAUUGCUAAGCCAUGGUACAACCAAACCUGUUUAAACUAUUCACAAAAUCAAAUCAACAGUCUGACAUAGUCAUUGUACAAAUAUGCAGUAAGUACCAAAAGAUUUGCAGCUCAGAGCUCAGGUAAAGAAAUGUAAACAGAAAUGUUCUACUUUCUAAAUCAUCAGAUAAUGUAAACAUGCGAGUAUGUGUCCCAACAAACUUGGGAGAUUAAAGUGUGAGAAUUAACUUUCGCAGAAAGCAGGAAUUGUUAUGUUCUUCAGUUUCAUCAUAUGGUUAAAAAAAAAAAAAAAAAGAAGAUAUAUGCUUCAAAAGCACCAACAACAACAUUUUGCCCACCAUGAUAAUUUGUCUUUCCACAAUCCUGAUUCCCAAUUGCAACAUGUCUCAGAUUGAAGGGUUCUGGAUGGCCCAUUGCUGCUCGGACAUAUCCCCAUGUUGAAUUAGGAUCUCCUCUGGCAAACUCAAUACCAUCCAGAAUUUCCUACACUUGGAAAGAAGAAUUCUUUAUUUCCUUUGUCAGCCUUCCACUCUUAUAUACAGUAAUUAGUCAUGAAUCUUUAGACUGAAGAAUCAUACUUAAAGAUCCAACGGAUCAGAGCAUCAGGAAGGUUAUUUUGGAGGCAGCUCCAAAAAACAGUGCUAUGUAACAGGAUGAUUUACUCACAGAUGUUGUAACAUGAAUCAUCACUUGAAGUUUCUUGACAAGCUAAAGUAUUGGAAAGUUUUGAGAUUGAUGGAUGUUAAUCAAUAAUUUUUUUUUAAGCAGAACCAAAAAACAUACCUGCACAAAAGGUAAGAUUCUCGUGGUAUCAAUUUGAUCAUUAAGGCUGAUUCCUGAGGAAAGUUUAAUAGAAAACAAUAUCAAUAAUGAUUCCAAGAUAUAUAAACGUAAAAAAAAAAAAGCUAAUUAUGGAAAAUCUGCAGAAUACCAGUAUUGAAAACCCAUAUCGGUAACGAGCCCAAAUCUUCAGCGAGCUGCAGAAUAAUAACGACCAAAAAAUGAGAAAGAAAGAAGCAAUCAGAUUAUGACUGAAAUUCUCCAAAAGAACAAGAGCAAUGAUAUGCCUGAAACCAUUAUAUAACCUGGAGAAACUCAAACAGACCAAGUCCAUCAUCAGUCCAGUAUUGCCAAACAUCAUUAAAAUGUCCUGGUCUUUCUUCCCAGGGUCCAACGGUUACUUUCCACUGAAAUGAAUUUCUUAACCAUUCACCUUCGACAUAAGAACCACCUACCACAAGAUGCACAAGGAAGAAUUACCUAAGAAUUGAGGCCUCUAUGAAAGGUGAUGCUGCUGAAAUGAAGUUAAUCAGACUACAAAAGAAGAUAUACAGAUUUAACCAGUAUGAUGAAAGUAGAGAGUAGAUCUACAGCAUUGGUUGGAUUGACUAACUAGGACAGCCAGAGUUCGUUAUUGUCAACUACACAGAUUAUCAACUUGCUGAAGCCAAAAAGUCUAUCAUAUUGCUCAGGGGAGAGAAAUUGUAGAUAAUCCAUAAAGGAAACCAAGCUAUAACUACAAAGAGCACGGUCAAAGUGAGCAGACUCAUUGGAGAUAAAAUAUGAGAAGAAAAAAUCUUACAGAGUUAGAUAUUAAAAUCAGGAGUUGUCUAUGGGAUCAUCUAUAACUUUUAAAUCUCAAAGGUUUAGUAACCUACAGUGCAACACGCGGUUACAUCACGCACAGAAUUCCAGUGACCAAGGAAAUAUUUGGAAUCAUAGCUUAAGAGAUGUUGCUUGAACUAAAAUUUGCACUAUCCUAAAUUGUACUCUUGUGAACCUAAUACUUUAAUAACUCAAGAUUCAAUGUUGUAAAACGCAGAACUUCCAUAGCAGUCAAAAAGAUUCUAAGGGCCAACUGCUAUAAAUGGAUGUUAAGUAAUAAGAGUUUUUUUUUUUUUUGGAACAAAUAAGAAGAACCACAGUUGAGCAUUCACAUUACUUUAGGUCGUCGUCCAACAUUAACUGCCAUAAACUACUCGAAUAAAUAACUUCAAAACUUCAGGAUGGCUAAGAAUAAGAACCUGAAUAAGCCAUGUGUCUGCUGUCAUCCAAGAAAGUAAAAAACAAAGCACGAGUAGAUAACCACCACAUUUCCCCAUGGUUGGAAUAAAGUUUUAAUUGUGCUGGAAACCAGAACGAGAUAAAGCAGACUGCACAAGAGGUUGAAUUGCUCUAUGGGAGAGUCAUGGAUUAUCUGGAGUGCUUUGGAGGGUCAAGAAAUCUAGGUAUAGUAUUUUGAGGUAAAUGAGUAUGCUAUUAUGCCUUGUCUAAAGCUUGUCUAAUUGCCAGCUCAAUCUUACUUCUUUCUUUAUCAGCAUUUUCCGAAUUUAAGGAUUCUUUAGAACUGUAUGGAUACAACCUUUUUCACUGAUACUAUUCCAUCCUUAAAUAAAAAAUGAAAAACACCAGCCAGGAAAACAUAGGAAAAUGGUAUGGAGUAUCCCAAGUUUUCCAAUGAUGUCAUUGUUUGAUCAAGUUUGUCUGAAGCCACAAGAAGAACACGUUGCAAAUUGAACACAAGAAAUCAGUUACAACAUACCAGGAAAUCUGAUAAACCUGGGUCUCAAAUCUGCAAGCAUUUGAAAGAGAUCCUGUCGAAAACCAUGUCCCUGUGGCAAGGAUAUCAGAGUGAAAACAAAAAACAAAAGAACUACUUGUGGACAUGCAUCUAUCUAAAGGUAAAGCACGGAUCUCUUAUUAUUAUCAGAAAAGCCAAAAUCAGCAUUAAGCCUGAAUCUUUAGGUAGCAGACCAGUGAAAAAGUGAAGUAAGUUCACCAAAUCAAUAUUUUACCAUGUUGUAAAGCUUCCACUUUUCUGUCUGGCCACAAAUUGGAAUGCUUAUAUCAUGAACAUGGAAGAAUCCUCAUACAAUGUUAAACGCUCAAUAGUUAACUACCUAAACCAAUCUUAAUUAGAAACCCAAAAAGUGAACCUUUAGGGCACACAAAACCUAGUCAGGCAAUUAGUGCGUUGUAGCUUUAUCAGAAUGAGGCAAUAUCAUCAAUGUCAUGAAUCCACCUAGAUUUUCAUGCAAUGUUCCAUAAGAUAAAUGCGGGACUAUGACUAAUAUGGCUGGUCAAUGGGAAUCUAUGUUGAUGAAUUACACACCAAAGAGAAGAAAGUUGUCAAGAGGAAAACAGUUCAUUGGAUGACAACGUCUGCUUUGACUUCUAUUAUAGAGAAAAGUUGAUGAUUAAAUGCAUACUGAGACCAUUAAUCAACUUGGCAGAUUGUGCCAUUUUGUACUUGCAUUCUUUUCUUACUCUCUUGUUAUCACAAUUCUUUGAAACCCAAUUCUUGAACUUUGAGUGAUGAUGCUGCACUUUUGAUGAUUGAUACCAAUAACAUGUUAUCUUUGUUUCCCCCUACCAGCUUUUUCUUUCUUCUUUUGCCUUAAUAUUUUCUUUUGUCUCCCUGAUUAACAUGAAAUUCGAUUAUGGAUAAAUAACAAUGUCUCGUUAAUGCAGAAAUUGAUUGUAUUCAAAUGCGAUUUACACCUUGAAUGUGUCCAAAGGCAUGGCUGAGACUUGAUCAAACCAUAUGACACCUUUUCUUGUUGUCAUCAGUUGCAGCCUUGAAUUGGGAUCACUCCCUGCUGCCUCCAACAAAACCUCAAUCAUUGUCCAAUUUGAAACAUCAGAAGAACUGCAAGAACACCGAUGAUCAAUUGAAAGUUAAAAUUUAACAGAGUAUGUAGAUUAAGAAGCAUCCUGAUAACCAUAUUUAUGAGCAAAUGGUGCUCACACAAUGUUAGAAGUGGCCAGUGUCCUCGCACCAUUCGAACCAGUGAAUGAGACAGUUAUGUUAACUGAUUCUGAUGAGCGGACGUACAUGAGAACCCUAUAUGUCUUCUGUUGUUCAAUGUUCUAGAACAUGGCAAAGUGAGUAAUGCAAAGGGUUUAAGUCAGUUAGACAUCCUUACUACAAAAAAGACAACAUAAUGGAUUAGCAGAUCUCUUUAGCAACUAACAGAUAGAGAUUAGGUACAAAAUAUGAAUUAAUAUGCCUGAACUAUAUUAUAUGAAUCAUGAUGAAUAUAAGAAGUACACAACCUAUGUGCAUAAAAUCUUGUCAUAUGCAGAUAAAACCCGAUGCUGACGGCGCUUACUUCCAAGCUAAAAUGUGCUCUAAGCAUGUAAGAGAUGGAAUAAUUGAACCUAUAGUAAAUCUUGACGUAUAUGGGGUGGCUUAACAGGGUCAUUCUUGAAAGAAUUAAAUGGACCUCACAACUGUUAUUGGACUAUGCAACAAACACAGAAAGGUUCUAUAUGAUUGUUGAAGUCAUGAGUUAUCUUUUACCAUGCCCCAGUACCCAGGAUUAUAUAUUCCAACUCCUUCAGCGGGACAAAUGAUGGGUCCUUCAUUGUCACAAAGGACCUCCAUCCUGAGUGCAACUUUAUUUCGUUCAAAGCAUGAAGAACGGUCCGUCGAUACAAUUAACAAUGAUUCAUCACCCAGAAUAGACCAAGGAUAUAUGUUUGAUGGGAUGCUCUCUCCCCCAGCUUCAAAACCUGAAUUUGUGAAUUCUCUUUAGAACUCAAAGAUUAAAGACCUUAAAAAAAAAUCAAAUGAAAGAUUCUGCCACCAAGUAAAGCAGACAUAUACUUCUCAAGUUUAUGAAAACCUGAAGAUGAUAAUCAAAUCGAUCUUCCCUGAGUCCUUAAAAUGGGGGUGGAAGUUAGCAAACUGUUAUGAGUCAUUGCAACAAUGCUUGUCAAGUUGUUAUAGUUUGCAUAAUGGACUUAGCAUCUGGGCAUGGCAAUAAUGAACCUGCCCGAUUGGUAACAAAAAAAUAAAAAAGAACUUUGUCUUACAAAAUCUUUAAACGCAAUGAAAUGAUUAGGUCCAUCUUGAACACCAUCCUAAAUGUGCCAAGACAAGAAAUAGGUAGAGAUCUGCAAAUUUUUUAAUGAACUUGACAUUUUUCACAAGAUAUAACUUUUCUUAUAAUGUGUAUAUAACUGCAGAAGGAUAUUUCGGAAAAAAGAUUUCUCACAACCGGCUAGAUAUGAAGUGCAUUGCUGAAAAGGUAUAAAAUUGAUUAUCCUCUCUGCAUGCUAAGACAAAUUCUUCACUUAAUUUCAGAGAGAGGAAGUAAGACAUUGCCGCAAAGAUACAAGCUUCAGAGAUCCAACUGAUACCAAUAAGAUAUCAAUUUCUUUAUGACUAAGUGAAGGGAAACGUGACCUCGGUUACUGACUAGCUCUGCCCACAAUCCACCAGCCCCAGCAUGGUUGAUUUCCUGUAGAACCAUUACUGCUCAAUCAAUACACUUGAUGUAGUCUGCAAGUUGAUGUAAAAGAUAUAACUAGGAAGUAAUACAAUAUAAGCCUUGGAUUUUUAUUUUCUGCCCAAAAAAAAACCCUGAAAUAAGAUAAACAAAGAUAAGAAUUUGUGGUUGAAACAUAACUUUUUUUGCAUCUAAAGGACAAAAAGUAGGCAGCAAAUCACCCUUAUAUACAAAUAAUUAACCAUGUCAACUGAACUAACCUCGAAUGAUAUUCCAAACAUGGUUUCAGGAAUCUUUCUUGCUGAUGCUUGAGCAGCAUCCACAGACAGCCAUGCUGACUGGUUUGCCUCAAUUCCAGUUGCAGAGCUAUUAAACGAGGCACACAACACAACUAAAAAGAAGAGCAGAACUCCACAUGGUUGAGGACUGGAAGACAUUUCUUCCUUGUAGCACCAGCUUCCUGUGGCCUGUUUAAGCACUACAAAGGAAAUUAGUUCAGGUUUGUGCUGAGCAGUUAACUGGUAAACAAAGCGUGAAUAGAAUGACGUCCUCCACAACCUAUCAUUACUGAUCAUUCCAAUCUGGAUUGGGACUGUGAAGAGAUUAUGAGGACAUUAAUGCGAUUUAACUUUUCAAUGAUGGUGGUUAAGCAGAUGGACCUCCAAACACAGAUAUGACUAAAUCAUGACAAGAAGUUAGUAUCCAUUUCAGCAUUUUACCUUGUUUUCAGACUAGAACCUGUUUGAAUAAAUAACUUCUUACUAACUACCACAGAAUUCUGUUAUCGUUGGGGAAAAAAAAAAACUACCACACAAACUUAAAACUCGAAACAAGUCCAUUGAAGACCAGCAUUUGGGAAGCAAAUAAUAAUUUGAAGCCAGGCAAAAUGACUCAAGAUAAGGAACUUGACUAAAACAGUACCAUAAAGCGCCCUGCACAAAACUACAAAAUGUAAGAGAAUUCUUAGGCAUUUCAACAUAUAAACUGCAUUGAAAAUCUUAUCAUGCGUGCACACAAAAACAAAGCAAGUCCAAGGAGCUAGAGACAGUUCCAGGUAAACACACGAGGAAUACUGCAACUUUUUUGUCACCAUAAACUUCCUUUAUGGGGUGAACUUAAUAGUCUUUCAAACCAAGGAUAAUUGCACAUCCAUGGAGGCAAAUAUGGUACCACUGGAUGCACAGUGCAUUCAACAGAGUAUUAUACAAAACUAAAUUGCAGCAUCAAGCUCAUGAAGAUUUUUUAUUAACAUAUCGGUUUUUUUUUUUUGUUUUUUUGGAGAUGUGUAGUGAUACAAAUCCAAAUUGAUAAGAGCAUCAUCACAUUCUUUUUCAUGUCAACUUGGAGUAUUGAAGGAGCGAGUAGUUUACCUGCAAAGUUGAAUCAUCAGCAAAUGAAGCCUUAGUUUAAUUUGGAUAUUUGAUGAGUCACAUUGAGGGGAGGCAAUUAUAUAUGGUUGGAGCUCAGAGUUGAUACACACUGAUACAACAGAAAGUGGGAAGGCAAAGCAAAAGGCAAGAUUUCUUGCCUUCUGAUCCUUGAGUUUGCUCCCAAGUUGUUAGUGUAUGUUGAGUAGCCUACGUGUAAAAGCAAAGGCAAAGCCGCCAAGGCAAAUGGGGGUUGUUAUCUAUCAAUUAAUUAAUAUGUCCCCUUUUUCUUUAUUGCACACAAGGGGUAGUUAUUGAUUGGAGGAGAAGUCAUACUCCGUCCAGAAGCGCGGUUUUUUCUUGUCCCAUCUUGCAUUGCGGAGAUGACUUGUUCAAGAUUACAGAUAUGGUUAGAGGUCCCGACUUUGCUUUCACGUAACACUCUAGUCAUGAUUGCUGUACGAUAAGACUCUGCAAUCAGCAGCAGCAGCAGUUGACCCGGACUUGUAGUGUAGCGCUAUUACACACACACACACACACACACACACAUAUAUAUAUAUAUGUAUAUGUAUAUGGAGUAGUAUUUCAGAAAUAAGCUCUUCCUUCUUCCUCCCUUAGUUAAUUGCGUGAAAGUUUCUUUCUUGACCCCACCAGUCCAUCUGCUUCAUGCACUAUCUAUCCCAUUUGGACUUAAACAUUUUGGUAUUUCGUAUAUUGAUGCAGGCCACUCUAGUUCCUUGCAAUAUUGUUGUUCUUAUCCACUAUCAGAAAGGCGAAGACCAAGUGUGUUGUUAUCCAUUAAAUUAAGGGUGUUUGCUGCUCUUAACACUCUCAAUCAAAACUAGAUUUUUGUUAGUAUUUGCCUGAAUUACAAUUUACUACUGAAAUAUAGUAUGAAAGAGACGCCCCUGAACUUGAUGCUUCUGGGCUAGUACAAUUCUUCUCUAAUACAGUACUAAUAUUAUUAUUAUUUACAUACAGCUCUUGAGAAGGAUCUCAAAAGCUGGAGGACGGUGGGGUUCCGCCGCCAUAGAUGGGCCUUUCUACAGGCUUCUUCGCUAGGCCAGAAUGCCUCAACUGCUCAAAUGCUUUGAAGCCAAAAAAAGAAAAACGCAGUAUCUUUGUAGCUACCAGAAGUGUCCAUGACAUGUUUUUCUUAAGCGUAUUGUGCAAACCAAGAUUCUAUUUCAACCUAAGGAGAUUUACAGGGAAUUGAAAUGGUCGACGUGAUCCUGUGAACAGAAUGGAGGCUCGAGCUCAAAUCGACAAAGCUCGCGAGCUGUAGCUCGAUUUUCAGCUCGAAUUGUUAGCUCGUAACAUAGCUCGAAUUUCUAACUCGUGAGCAACUCAUUAGCUUGAGUUUCUGGAAAUUAAUCUAAUGAAAGCAACAAAUGAUUAUUUUUUCUUAAUAAAUAAUAAAUAUUAGGGAUAUAUGUAUAAUUUUAGUAUUAAAAUAAAAAAUUAUAUAUAUAUAUAUAUAUUAUAUACAUUCAAGCUCGUAAAUCGAUUCCCGAGCUAACGAAUUUAAUAUUUUGACCUCGAAUUCGAUUUAACCAACUCAAACUCGACUCGAAUGCGAUAUUAAUCGAGCUCGACUCGAACUUUGAUUCGAACCACUCGCGAGCCGUUCGUUUGUAGCCCUGCUCCAGACAGAACUACUGCUACUAAAUAAAUAUUUUAACACUAGCAGCAACAAUAGUACAGAAGCACAAAGGUGACAUAGAAUUAGAUCCCCAACCUUUUACAUUUAGCUAAUCAAAGGUUCAAUGGCAAGAACAGAUUAGUCCGCGAGUUAGAACAAUAGCAGCAGAAUAAGCAGUUCUGCAAUUGGGUUGGAUGCGCGUAACCAACAGCCAAGAAAAGCAAAGCCCACAAAAGAAAGAAAGAAAAGGAAAGGGAUUCCGGAGGAAGCCAGCCAGCACUGCCGCCGUUGCGAACCCACCCAUGACCCCGCCCUACUGGGAGUAGGAGGACAUUGAAUCGAAUCGAAUCGAAUAAUAGAAAGUAUUAUUAGCGAGGCGGAAAACAAAGUAGUGGUUACUCUUUCUACAUUCAUUAAAUGGAACAACAAGAGCCGCAGACCCAAAGCAAAAUCAGCUUCCAUCAAACUCAUACUGAAACCAUCAUCCCCAACCGCCAGGAUCAGGAGGAAGCCAACCACCAUUUCCAAACUGCUGCCCUACCAAUACCAUCACCUCCUCCUCCCCCUCCUCCU